UGCAUCAGUCCGUCAGAGAGGAAGCUUUCGCGCCAUCUUGGAUUUCACAUUAGUUGUUUUGAAUUUGAUGAAAUUCGCUGGCGCUCCAUCGGUGUAAACAGAGUUUUUGUUAUUUACAAGCGCCUGAAAUCGACAUGGAUUAUCCUGAACUGUUGCAGAGAAGUUCACCUGUCCUCCAGGCUGAAAAUACUAACUUCCUGUUUUGGCGGCGCUGCAACAUGUUAGCUUCACAUUACCACGCUGCUACUUCCGCUCAUGGACAGACCUGUCAUGCGCAGUGCUGCCCUCUGCUGGCCACACACACAGCCUGCUCCAAUUAUACUUAAAUGUAACUCUUUUUUUUUUUUUUUUUUUUUUUUUCUACGUGAGUUUUUCCAGCGAUCAUCUCAUCAGAAAAAUGCAUUAAUAUUCCUUAACUUUAUCAAGUGUGGGUGUGUUUUUAUUAAAUGUUUAUUUCACUGUGUCUGAGUUUAAUUGAAUAUAAAUUAAUAGUACUGCAGGUUAAAAAAAAACCAAUCCUAAAUGUACUAAGAAAUUAAUAAAUGCAUAUAUUUAUUUAGUUACUUUCGACCCGCAUGAAGACAACCCCUCUGAAUAAGAUAAGAACAUCUUAUCAGCAGACUGGUUAGUGUUCCUUUCACCGUUCAGUCAGAACAGGUGUUUUUAAUUAAUUGGUUGUUGUCAGGUAAAAGUGCUCUGACAGCAGACUUGAUGUCGACUGAAGAGUUAUUUAUCAGCAGCAAGAUUCAAGCAGCAGCACAGAGUUCUUCGGUCACCUGUACAGUAAAUGUGAUUUGUCCUUAAUGAGCUGUCUUCAUUGUGAGUGAAGCACAAAGAACCAGCCUUAUCCUGGCAAACAUUUCCUCCCAUUUUCAAUUUCUUUAAACAGUCAGGUGUAGGAGUGUUGGCUGGACAUUGUGGGGCUCUGAGAUUUCUUCAUCUGGCGUCCAGUUUGGCUGCCAGGCAUCUCAGGAUUUUGUUGUACCUGCAGGUGGACGUGCCCUCUGUGAGGCUGCUGCUGCAACCCACUAGUAUGUGCUUGAUGUUGGCAGGCAGCACCUUCUCCCAACACAGAUUCGGGUCUGCAGAAGAGGGACAGAUGCCUCGAUGCCUUCUCGUGAUAUGAAAUAUUUUACUUUAGCUCCAUUUUGACCAUCUACAACAGCCAAAUGCUGCUUAGUAAUACAAUCUAAUUCUAUAGUAAGGGUCACAUGGAAGGUCUGCAUUGUGAGCAACAUACACUUUCAAUACAGGGCUUUUAGUAGUAACCUGAAAUACUUUAUCCUAGAGGGGAAAUUGUUUUGUUCCAGUUUCACAUGGUGCCAAUCAAGGCAUUAAAGAAAACAGAAAUAAUAAUGAAAACAUUGGUAAGUAGGAAAUCGAAUAAAGACAAUAUACAAAUGUAGUCAACAGUGUUCAGGAUGUUGCAGAAGUGUAAUGAGUUAAGUAUUAAUAACUAUGAGGACAGAUAAUGUUGAGAGCUGGAUUUGAUUUAAAUCUGUAAAAUUUGCAUGAAACAGGGAGUUGAUCCCCAAAAAAGAGGAGUUAAUGACAUUGAUUUUAUUAUAAGGGUAUAACAUUUGAUGACUAAUAUACUGUAGAUUUAAAUGAUAUACAAAACAUGUAUGGUGUAAUAGUGUACCAAAAUACAAAUAUAAUAUUGUUUGGAAAUGAUGUUUACAUUUUUUAAAUUUGAACAUUGUCUUGCUGUUCCAAAUGACUAAAUGUGGUGUGGUAAUCUGUGUUAAAAGGCUGUUUUAAAAUGAAAUUUAUCACUAAGGUGGAUUCAUACAGAGGGACCUCACGUGUAUGUCAACACAGAACCAGAGAGCUGUAACCCACAGGCAAGUUUUAAGAACAUCGAUAACGAUGCUAGUGAUGCUAAUCCUGCGUAUUGUCUGUAGAAGGCCUUAAUCAUUUGGUCAGAUUCGCCUAUUUCAACAAUCUUCUGACAAUGGUAAACAAAGAAGCAAAUGUUUAGUAUGUUUAAUGGGGUAGUACUCUAACAUGUAAUUAAGUCUUAUCAAGAAGCAAUGCUGAUGCAUGUAGCCGUUUUGCUACUCUCUUUGUUCAAUCUAUGGUUUUAUUCUUAUCCAUGAUAAGCUUAAGUUCUGUUGCAGAAUAGAAUGGCACCAAGAAACAGAUAAAUAAAUAAAAUGAACAUUUUUGACAACA